rnacentral:lncRNA from 1 species
CAUAAUGACAAAAUAACACCUUCUGAAUCCCAAACAGAAGUAAACAUACAAAAAAAUUUUUUUUAUAAAUAGUAUAAUAAUAGUGAAUAAUUAGUCUCUAAACCAGGUCAAUAGGUUAUUCAUCAUUUGGAUAUUUAGACUCAAAAUUCAGGCUCUGCAGUCAAAUUAGAGGCUUUGUUUCACAAACCACCGCAGCUCUAGAGCUUUACAGAUAUAGGAUAGUGAUGCUAAUGUAGCUAUAUAAUGAUGCUCCAUAAUUAUACAUUCAACGUGAGCCAUUAAUGAUUCUUAAGUAUGUAAAUAAUGCAUUUAAGGUAGGCUAAGUCAGUGAUUUUCGCAGCAUGUUGUUUGUAGUCACUUUGAGGGAAUAUCAUGUUUUCACAGAGUCCGAGUCAGUCGCUUUAAGGCCUGUUGAGUUUGUUUGGAAGUCGUAUUAAACAGCAAGGGCAGUACAUUGACAUGAAUCAGAGUGACAUUUGAUCGUUUUGGUCUUCUCAGGUAGUUCAGAGACGUCGUGCUCCGCACCUGUGCUGCUGUGUGUUCAGCGAGGCUUCAUUUCCACCCACCUGAAAGCAGCUCGAGAGUUCAUGUAACCUGUCCUGAGCUUCAUGAGAUCAGGUGGACAUGGGUACCAGCCAGUAAUAAUAAUGUAAGCUGAUCCUCCGUGUGAGAGAGAUCUGCCUGAGGCCAGAUCACAUUUACGGAGAACAGGCGUCUCGUUGGUCACGUGAUGACGUUGACUCACGUUCACCUCUGGUGUCAGGGCCAAUCAGGGGUCAGCGAGCGCAGACAAUAUCUGGUCUCCCCUCAGACUCAACCGUGUCUCUGCAUCAGCAGAAAAACUCAAGAUGUUUGCUGGAGAAGCGCUAGAGUGCUGGACACCGAACCAGCAGUCAGCAGAAAAACAAGGGCCAGCGGCCAACCAGACAGACGGAGGGUUAGAGAGGUCCAAAGAGCCAACGCUUCACUGAAACUCACACACAGAAGAGCGUUUGUAAGAUUAUGACUAAUAUGAGAAGUGAAGACUCAUUUCAGUCUGAAGUCGACGCUGCCUCUCUGAUCUUGGAUGAAGGUGUGACUGUUGGUUAGUAUCAGGCGUCGAGGAGCUGCGGGAAAAUGAACGUUUUGAUGCAACGCCCUGAGAAACAGUGCGACCAGAGCUCAGGUCUGAACAGAACAAACGGUUAAAUUGAGCCAUCACCACCCAUCUCCUCUGUUUGCUUAAGUGUGUUACUGGGUUAUCUGGCCAAAGACUACUCAUCUUAUCAAACAUGCCGAGUCACCUCCCUUCAACUCUAGUGAAGACUUAUGGUUUUGGGAAAGUACAUUGUGUAAAAGCACCACAAACGAAUGUCCCUGUUUCAGUCUAAAAGGUUUGACAGUCUGAUGUCAUAGAGAAUCUCUGGAAGCUUUGAAUUCUUGAUAAGAAGGUUCUGUUAUUUUUAAGAAUGAUGAUGAUAUGUGAAUUCAGAGUAGUGUAUUAGAACACACUGCGCUGCACACUGUAUCCCAUAAUGCAAAGUGCUCAUCAUGCUUUUAGCUCAGAUUGGCUGAAUGUUUACCUAAGAUUGGACCGAAAAUGCAAAAUAAGCGAAUUUGCAACUGGAUUUUGAAUUAUAUAAGAUGAGGUCUGUGUGGCAUUCAGAAUUGAUUUCCUGUUCAAUUUCUGUUUUUGAAAUGAGAUAGCAAACAGGAUGAAGAGUUGCAAUAUGAUUUCAGUGUUUGAGGUGUCACCUACAUAAAUAAAAAAAUUCAACCCUUUAUCAAACGCCUAGCGACCACCCAAAAUGUCCAAAAAACUGCAUUGCAACAUGCUAAAAACCACUUCAACACCUUAGCAACUGCUUAGCGGCCAUUUAAAACACUAAACAUUUGUGAAUCAGAACACUUGAUUUCCCAGAAUGCACUGCAUCUGUGUUAAAUUGUUUUGAGUUAUGGCGCUUUAAAGUCAUAACAGAAAGAUUGUAAAUACGAGUUGAAUGUGCUUAAAACAAAAUACACCUGAUGCACAUUCUUUAUUCAUCAUUGUAGAAUUAAAAAUUGUUGUAGAGAAAGUACAUUGCCAUCUUGCUCC